CAACAUGUAGCUUAACUAAAGCAUCUCGCUUACACCGAGAGAAUAUCUGUGAGACCCAGAUCAUUUUGA
rnacentral:tRNA from 1 species